GAUGAACGCUGGCGGCGUGCCUAAUACAUGCCAAUCGAGCGAACGGACGAGAAGCUUGCUUCUCUGAUGUUAGCGGCGGACGGGUGAGUAACACGUGGAUAACCUACCUAUAAGACUGGGAUAACUUCGGGAAACCGGAGCUAAUACCGGAUAAUAUUUUGAACCGCAUGGUUCAAAAGUGAAAGACGGUCUUGCUGUCACUUAUAGAUGGAUCCGCGCUGCAUUAGCUAGUUGGUAAGGUAACGGCUUACCAAGGCAACGAUGCAUAGCCGACCUGAGAGGGUGAUCGGCCACACUGGAACUGAGACACGGUCCAGACUCCUACGGGAGGCAGCAGUAGGGAAUCUUCCGCAAUGGGCGAAAGCCUGACGGAGCAACGCCGCGUGAGUGAUGAAGGUCUUCGGAUCGUAAAACUCUGUUAUUAGGGAAGAACAUAUGUGUAAGUAACUGUGCACAUCUUGACGGUACCUAAUCAGAAAGCCACGGCUAACUACGUG
rnacentral:rRNA from 1 species